rnacentral:tRNA from 1 species
GCCGAAGUGGCGGAACUGGUAGACGCGCACGCUUGAGGGGCGUGUGGGGCAACCCGUGCCGGUUCGAGUCCGGCCUUCGGCACCA